CGUCAAGUCAUCAUGGCCCUUACGACCUGGGCUACACACGUGCUACAAUGGCACGCACAGAGGGCCGCGACCCCGCGAGGGUGAGCAAAUCCCACAAAACGUGUCGUAGUCCGGAUUGGAGUCUGCAACUCGACUCCAUGAAGCCGGAAUCGCUAGUAAUCGCGGGUCAGCAUACCGCGGUGAAUGUGUUCCUGAGCCUU
rnacentral:rRNA from 1 species